AGUGAACGCUGGCGGCAGGCCUAAUACAUGCAAGUCGAACGGCAGCACAGCAGAGCUUGCUCUGUGGGUGGCGAGUGGCGGACGGGUGAGGAAUACAUGGGAAUCUGCCCAGUCGUGGGGGAUAACGUAGGGAAACUUACGCUAAUACCGCAUGCGCCCUUCGGGGGAAGGCCGGGGACCUUCGGGCCUGGAGUGAUUGGAGGAGCCCAUGUCGGAUUAGCUAGUUGGCGGGGUAACGGCCCACCAAGGCGACGAUCCGUAGCUGGUCUGAGAGGAUGAUCAGCCACACUGGAACUGAGACACGGUCCAGACUCCUACGGGAGGCAGCAGUAGGGAAUAUUGGACAAUGGGCGCAAGCCUGAUCCAGCCAUGCCGCGUGAGUGAAGAAGGCCUUCGGGUUGUAAAGCUCUUUUGUCCGGAAAGAAAAGCAUCCAGUUAAUACCUGGGUGCCCUGACGGUACCGGAAGAAUAAGCACCGGCUAACUUCGUGCCAGCAGCCGCCGUAACAC
rnacentral:rRNA from 1 species